UACGUAAGUUGCAAGCGUUAUCCGGAAUUACUGGGCAUAAAGGGCAUCUAGGCGGUUUCGCAAGUCAGAAGUGAAAAUUCAGGGCUCAACCCUGUCCUUGCUUUUGAAACUGCGAGACUAGAGUACAGGAGAGGAGGGCGGAACUACAAGUGUAGAGGUGAAAUUCGUAGAUAUUUGUAGGAAUGCCAAUGACGAAGGUAGCUCUCUGGACUGAAACUGACGCUGAAGUGCGAAAGUUAGGGUAGCAAACGGG
rnacentral:rRNA from 1 species